rnacentral:rRNA from 1 species
UACGUAGGGUGCAAGCGUUGUCCGGAAUUAUUGGGCGUAAAGGGCUCGUGGGCGGUUUGUCGCGUCGGGAGUGAAAACUCAGGGCUUAACCCUGAGCCUGCUUCCGAUACGGGCAGACUAGAGGUAUGCAGGGGAGAAUGGAAUUCCUGGUGUAGCGGUGAAAUGCGCAGAUAUCAGGAGGAACACCGGUGGCGAAGGCGGUUCUCUGGGCAUUACCUGACGCUGAGGAGCGAAAGUGUGGGGAGCGAACAGG